UAAACUGUAUGUCAGACGACGCUUCUGAAUGAAGAGGCACUGGGCGGUCUCACAAGGCCUGGAGGAAAGCAUGUGAUUCGUCACACUCUGAUUCCAAACACAAGGGCUCCUAUCCACUAAUUUGUCACCGGGUCAUGAGCAGAUGUUUGUGCUGCUGCUGCUGCUGCUGCUGUGGCUUGACACGUCUAUGCUGAUCUGACCAAUAACAUAAGUUUGGGGCGGGGCCAUCUGUGAGUCAACCAAUGGCAGAUGUGGCUACUUGAACGUUUUCUGAUCAGAUGUGAUCCCUCUGAACUGAAGAUCUGCAUGAAGAUCCAUGUUUCAAGGUUAAAAGGACAGAUAGAGGAAGCAUUCAGCUGGCAGAGAGACGGUGAGCAUAAUGCACCCAAAACGAACAGAAGACAAAAACAGACAAAGUGAGGCAAAUAUUUGAAGAAGACUGGCACACAGGAUGAGAAGGGUAUUAAUAGGCUUUUAUACGCGUAUCCCUCCUUAUCUCUAAAAAAAGACGAAUGAAGAGGUAGAAAGGGAUUAAUGGGUGACAAACCUUAUGGAAAAAAUAAAGUAUAAUGACGUUAGUCACUUAGUUCCAUUACUGCAUCUCAGUCGUGUAUGAA